CCAUCAGAUCGACCCUGUUGAUC
rnacentral:piRNA from 1 species